GGGGCCCCAGAGGCCGCUCUCACCUCACGGUAGUUUGUUUGAAGCCGAGCCGCAAAGUGCGGUCUGCGCGGCGAUUGGCGGAGCUCCGCCACGUGAUCGCCGAGUGGCCCCACCCACAGCCUCCCUAGUUACCUGGGCUCCCCCGGCGCCCAGAGAGCGUCAGGGAUUGAGUCCGUCCCUUUUAGGAGUAUUGGGAAUGGGGCAUUUAUAGUUAGUCUAAUAAACUGGGAAGGGAGAGACGAUGGAUUCAAGUACGAGCCAAUUCUCCCUUCUCGGUCGGCAAGAAGGGCUAUCUGUGGGCCCCAGUUUCACAGGCCUUCGGGAAGCCGGCCUCAGUGCGCAGGCGCCGGAGGGGAGGUCGUGGGAAGGAACGCUGGCGCUCGGGCUCAGCUCCCUGUGCCACUGCGCAGGCGCGGGUCUUUGCGACGUCUCUGGGCUCGCGGCCCCCGGAGGCCCGUCUCUGCUGCGCGGUUUUUCUAAGAUCAGCUCUUUCUGUGUCGCUUUCUUUAGAUCAUCUGUUCCUUGAGGGGCCGGGGUCUCCACGGUCCCCAGGACGUGCCUUCCCUCUCGCAGACUCCUGGGCGGCCGAUUUCUCCUUCCCUGAAGUGAAGCGGGAAGCACGCCCACCCUCUCCAGCCCGUUUUUAACCGGUUGCUCACCUAAGCACCUUUUUAAAGUGGAAAAAGGGCAUCACGCUGGGAGGCUGAGCCGGGAACCCCGGAACCAGUGAGCUCACCUGUUACCCCAUUUCUUUAGUGAAGAAGAAAAUUAGGUUUUUUAGAAAAUUCUUUUAAUGUUUAUUUUUGAAAGAGAGAGGGGGAGACACAGAAUCCGAAGCAGGCUCCAGGUCUAAACUGUCAGCACGGAGACCAACGUGGGGCUGGAACUCGCCAACCGGGAGAUAAUGACCUGAGCCGGGGUAUAAUGAGCUGAAGUCAGAGGCUCAGCCGACUUACGACCCAGGCGCCAUAAAAAUUACAUUUAGAAGAAGGAAUUGAGUGAGGUUACAAGUUUUUAAUCAGAAUUGUCAGCGGGAACUCUUGGAAAGAAGGAAAUGUUGGAGGACUCUGCAUCCAAAAGAUAGGAAACAGAUCAAAUGUCCCUCAUUUGAAGGGCCUGGCCAAGCUAUGGCCCCUCGCAUGGUGUAAUAGUGAACUACAACAAAGAAUGAGCCAGCUGUUUAUAGAGGAAGUGAAUUUUGAAAACCACCAGUCAGACCAUGUACCUUCUGAUCUCAAUAACCAGCGUCUUCCUUUCUCAUUCAAGAAAGUCUGAGUCCUAGAGUGGCUUAUAAAGUCCCCUGCAGUUUGGCCCAGUUCACUGAUUUUCACAGAUGGUCCUUCUGUUUCGUCUUCCUCUUCUCAAACAGGCUGGGCACCCUCUGUUUCAGGGCCUUGUCACCUGCUGUUCCCUCUGCCUGGAAUGCCCUGCCUCAGACUAGUAUGGCUCUCUUCUUUUGGGGCUUUGCGUCUUUGCACAGAUUUCACCCUCUCAAUUAGGGCCUGUCCUGACCUUUCAGUUUAAAAUUGCAACUCCCCAUCUCUGUUCUCUGCCUUUUUUUUUUCCUCGUGGUGUCUAUUGAAUAUGUAACUAUAUUGAAUAUAAAGCUAUACAUUCAUUAGGGAACUCAGAAAGAAUUCAUGAGAAAAUGGUGCCAGCAGUUGCCUCUGUGGAGAACAACUAGCAGCAGGGUGAGAUUAAAAUUUAUCCUUUUCUCUUUUUUCCUCACUCCUAUCUGCAUUACAAAAAAAAAAAAAAAAAAAUUAACAUCAGCCCCUGAGUUUAUGGCACAGACAUGUACUGAGCACCUGUGCUGUGCCAGGCAUUAUGUUAGGCCUUGGGGUAGACAGCAGACAGGACGUGUAGGGUAAAGACUCUGGGUAGUAGUUUAGAGGAGAGAAGUCACCCAAAUCAUCCUGGCAAGGGAAAGGGGAAGCCGCAGGCAGGGGACAGCACAGUCCAGGGCAUGUGGACUUACUAGAAUGUGACGGUUCCCCAGGGCCCGCUAAGUGGCAGUGAUGGACACAUGGAGAAUGGCCAAUGACAAUUAGAGAAAAGAGACAAAAUACAAAAAAAGGGCAAACUGCAGGGGAUCAUUUGAUGCCAAGCAGAGUUUGGCCAUUAUCCAAGGAGAUGCUGAAAGGUCUUUCGAAGGGAAUGACGGGCUGAGAUCUGAACUUAACUCGUGAACUUUCUCCCAUGAGAAUUAAAGCUGCACGAAGCCAGAGGUGACGAACUGGUGGCCUACAGAUGUUUGCUUUGGACCAGGUUUGUUUGUUUUUUUGUUUUGUUUUUUAAUUGGCCCACAUAAGAACAUGGAGGAACAAGAAUUCGAUAGGAAAACCAUUUGGCAGUAUCUCUUAAAGGUGCUGGGGCGACAGCAGUGAACACAGGAGCCAAGCCGUCUGUCCUCACAGGGUUUUCGUUCUACAGGAAGUACAAUAAAGAAGUCCUCACGCAGUGGGACACACGCACACUUGUGUGCACACACUCAAGACUGCUUGAAGAUUCAGCUUUACUCAAGUGCAAUUUUCCCAGAGAUUCUCCUACUUCACUCCUCGGACCCUUGGACCCUAAAGCAGGCCGCCAACACACCAGAACCGUGCAGGCCUCUGGCAGCUGACGCUCACCGCGGGGCUGGGAAGUUUGUGCCUUCCAGGUCACUGCCUGUGCUUGGUUUGUGCCAGUCACGGACACAACCGAUGCAGGCUUUACUUAGUUCACCCAAAUGUUGAUGACCCAGGCGCCCCUAGUAUGGUCUUUACAAGUAGGCAGAAUAACACCCCACCCCCCAAAUAGCUGCCUCUUAAUAUCCAGAACCUGUGACGAUGCUACCUUAUGUGGCAAAAGGGCUUUGUAGAUGUGACUAAGUUAAAGAUUUUCAUUAAAAAAUUUUUUAAACAUCUGUUCAUUUUUGAGAGAGCGUGAGCGGAGGAGGGGCAGAGAGAGAAGGGGACACGGAAUCCGAAGCAGGCUUCAGGCUCCGAGCUGUCAGCACAGAACCGCGAGAUCGUGAGCUGAGCCAAAGUCUGACGCUUAACGGACUGAGUCCACCCAGGCGCCCCAUUAAGUUAAAGAUUUUUAAAUGGGGAGGGAGAUUAUCCCAGUUUACCCAUCUGGAUCGACUUCAGUCAAGAGGGCCAGAGGAGUGUCAGGGAGGAUGUGGCAACGGAAGCAGAGGUUGGAGUGGUGUGAUUGUUGGCUUAACCUGAACCAGAUAGAAACGGAUUGAUCCUGAGAUGUCCUGGCGUUCAUGCUUUCUUUCCACUUGCUAGUAGAAUGAUUCAGCUUUCAGCGUUAGUGCUCUUUUUGCGAGGUGUCAAAAUGAAGCCAUAGGACAGAUGUUAGUUGUUCAAAAUGGGUUGUCUCUGAAGGCCAGGUACUGCUGGUGCUCUUCCACCAUGACUGCACAGUCAAGGGCAUUCUUCAGUUUUUUUGUUUUUGUUUUUGGUCAAAUUCUUGCCUUACCAGGAAUUGGCAAUCCUCCUGGUUGGGGGAUGUGGUAGUGUAGUGGGGUAUUCUGGUAGGGGUGGGGAAUAGCGAUGCCUCCUGUUCUGCCUGAAAGUCACUGGGGAGGGAGGCAGGGGGGCAGGAGUUGCUAUCACUUCAGGGGGGUUCUCCCUCCCAGUUCAUCUAAGUCUCCAGUGAGUAGAGGAGCCAAUAGGACUAUCUGGUAGCUUUGGAUGGUCCAGCUGAAGGCAAAAGAGGUGAGGCAAGCUCCACCCUGUCCUUUGGUUUGGUCAGUUCAGCCUCACCUACGAGCCGAGAUGCCAUUCCAUGGAAAGAGUUUACUUGACCGCUCUCGAGUCGCUUCACUUCACGUUUUUUUUUUUUAAUCAUUAUUAUUAUUUAAAUGUUUAUUUUUAUUUUUGAGAGAGAGAGUGUGAGCAGGGAGGAGCAGAGAGACAGGAGGAUAGAGGAUCUGAAGUGGGCUCUGUGCUGACAGCAGCAAGCCUGGUGUGGGAUUCCGACUCGUGAACUGUGAGAUCGUGACCCGAGCCAGAGAUGGACGCUCCACUGACUGAGCCACCCAGGUGCCCCAACUUCACGUUUUCUUGAAGCAGAAAUGUGUAGUGACGAGAGAAAAACCCUCUGGAGGCCUGAUACACGAAGGAUGCCAUUUUAGAUUUCUUUCUAAGUCAAUGUGACUAUACAUAAAUCAAACCCAGAGCCUGAGUUGUGGCUCCACCACCCAUGUGCUGUGCACCUGCUCUGUGAAUGGGUAGCCUAAAGGAAAACCAUCUUGUGCCUGAGAUAUCAAUCAUACUACUCCCUGCAUUCCUUGGUCACAAAACUUGUGAUUCCUGCCUAUAUGCUAAUCUAUAAUUUUUGGAGUUUUUAGAAGAUGUAAAAAAAGAGUAUACAACCCUAUAAAAACUGUUCAUUCUCCGGAGUACUUCCUUCCCUGUGAAGAGCGUGUUUCCCCAGGAAGCUGCCCUAACGUGGGCUUGAAUGAGACUCUUCUUUUCUCUUUAAAAUUUUUAAAAAGUUUUGUUCAUUCUUCCUCAGCAUUUCUUGGUAUAGCAGGCAGGAUAGCAGAGCAGCCAGCCCGAGAAACACGUGGGGUCCGCCGGGCCUGGUGCUUGGUAUCAGCAGGGGCCCUGUGUGGCCCUCUGACGUCUCGGCACCUCACAGGUGUAUCUGGUGACCUCCCCGCAGGAAUAUCCAGACCUCCUCGAUUUAGGUUGGCAGUACUGACUUUUAUUCAAGCUGUUGAGAGUUACUGGUAAUAUUCUCCACAUGGGAAUAAUCUAGAGGGGUUGGAGUUAUGGGUAGGUUGCUUUAAUUUGACAUUAUGCUAAUUGAUGUUAUUCAUAUAAGGCUUGAGUAGAUUCACUGGCUAGAAAUAUGAGAGACUGAAUCACUCAUCUCCGAAGAGAAGGGACUCUUGCUCCUUCUGGCCUAAAGCCACUUUCAGGUGACUGGAAGUCUCGCGGAAGUGGCUGAGGGUAUUCCUCAAGUCCCAUAGGAAUUUCCAUCUCAUAAAGUAAUUAGCGAUUGGCUCAUCUGCGGAUGCACACAUAGGGAUUGAACCCCCCCAGUGGUCUUAGACCUCGCUGGGAGAAACCGGGACCCAGAAGACUGUAUUAUGGCUGUUUGGAAGUGACACUCACAAGAAGCACCCUUUGAUCCAUCACACUCAACAUCCUUAGAUUUUGCUCAAGCCUUAUACCAAAAUGGAAACAAAAAUGACUAGGGCAUUGUGCUUUAAAAGUCGAACAGCUAGGGCUCCUGGGUGGCUCAGUCAGUUGAGCUUCCAACUCUUGAUUUCGGCUCAGGUCAUGAUCUCAUGGUUCAUAGGAUCGAGUCCCACGUCAGGCUCUGCACUGGGACUCUCUCCCUCUCUCUCUGCCCCUCCCCCUGCUCUCUCUUUCUCUCUC